UGGCGGACGGGUGAGUAACGCGUGGGUAACCUGCCUCAUACAGGGGGAUAACAGUUAGAAAUGACUGCUAAUACCGCAUAAGACCACAGCACCGCAUGGUGCAGGGGUAAAGACUCCGGUGGUAUGAGAUGGACCCGCGUCUGAUUAGGUAGUUGGUGGGGUAACGGCCUACCAAGCCGACGAUCAGUAGCCGACCUGAGAGGGUGACCGGCCACAUUGGGACUGAGACACGGCCCAA
rnacentral:rRNA from 1 species